rnacentral:lncRNA from 1 species
ACAAAAUCAAAUAGAAUUGUGUGGUCCUUCUAGUUCGCCACUUCCAAUUUUCCUCUCAAUUUGAUGCAUAACAUACUUUCAAGUGCUGCUGCAUUUAAGUUCUGUUACUUAGUUUCCUCUUCAUUCUCUAACUAGGCCCCCAUCAUUUUAUCCAAUUAUCCUUAUAUCCUUACAUCUUUGUCGGUGUCACAGUAGAAAUGAUGGAAAUACUGAAAAAAAAAUCAGAAAACUUAGUGAAAUAACGACAAGUCUGCGAAGGUGUGUCCCAAAAGAGGAUUAGGACACAAGUUGGAUACGCAUGCAAUGAAAUUCCGGCAGCGUCAACUAGCAAAGGACACACUGCACAUGCCACUGGCCAAAUCAAAAUGUAACAGUUACCACGAACGCAAUAUGCUCCACCAAAAGGAAAGGUGGGUGUUGGUGUAGGAGAACAAUUUAAAGAUAGAAGACCU